rnacentral:rRNA from 1 species
ACGAGCGGUGCAAGCGUUAUUCGGAAUCAUUGGGCGUAUAGGGCGAGUAGGUGGUAUGUUAAGUCCGUUGUUAAAGAUUCUAGCCUAACUGGAGAAAGGCGAUGGAAACUGGUGUACUAGAGUGUGGAAGAGAGAAGUGGAAUUCUCGGUGUAGCGGUAAAAUGCGUAUAUAUCGAGAGGAACACCGAUGGCGAGGGCAGCUUCUUAGACCAUACCUGACACUGAGGCGCGAAAGCGUGGGGGCGCACAG